rnacentral:misc_RNA from 1 species
GAUGAAGAACGUAGCGAAAUGCGAUACGUAGUGUGAAUUGCAGAAUUCAGUGAAUCAUCGAAUCUUUGAACGCACAUUGCACCUCUCGGUAUUCCGGGAGGUAUGCCUGUUCGAGCGUCAUUUGUACCCUCAAGCUCUGCUUGGUGUUGGGUGUUUGUUCCGCCUCUGUGUGUGAACUCGCCUCAAAACAAUUGGCAGCCGGCGUACUUGUUUCGGAGCGCAGCACAUUUUGCGAUCCAGAUCAACGUACAGCGGCAUCCAAGAAGCCUUAUUUAACGCUCUUGACCUCGGAUCAGGUAGGGAUACCCGCUGAACUUAAGCAUAUCAAAAGCGGAGGG